rnacentral:rRNA from 1 species
AGUGAACGCUGGCGGUAGGCCUAACACAUGCAAGUCGAACGGCAGCACAGUAAGCGCUUGCUCUUACGGGUGGCGAGUGGCGGACGGGUGAGGAAUACAUCGGCAUCUACUUUUUCGUGGGGGAUAACGUAGGGAAACUUACGAUAAUACCGCAUACGACGUACGGGUGAAAGCAGGGGAUCUUCGGACCUUGCGCGAUUGAAUGAGCCGAUGUCGGAUUAGCUAGUUGGCGGGGUAAAGGCCCACCAAGGCGACGAUCCGUAGCUGGUCUGAGAGGAUGAUCAGCCACACUGGAACUGAGACACGGUCCAGACUCCUACGGGAGGCAGCAGUAGGGAAUAUUGGACAAUGGGCGAAAGCCUGAUCCAGCCAUGCCGCGUGGGUGAUGAAGGCCUUCGGAUUGUAAAGCUCUGUUGUUAGGGAAGAAAAGCAGUAUGUGAAUACCCCGCUGUUCUGACGGUACCCAAAGAAUAAGCACCGGCUAACUUCGUG